CGAAGGACCCAAGCGUUAUCCGGAUUUAUUGGGUUUAAAGGGUGCGUAGGCGGAUUAUUAAGUCAGUGGUGAAAGCCUUCAGCUUAACUGAAGAAUUGCCAUUGAUACUGAUGAUCUUGAGUAUGAUUGAGGUGGGCGGAAUGUGUCAUGUAGCGGUGAAAUGCUUAGAUAUGACACAGAACACCGAUUGCGAAGGCAACUCACUAAGCCAUAACUGACGCUGGUGCACGAAAGCGUGGGGAGCAAACAGGAUUAGAUACCCUGGUAGUCCACGCCCUAAACGAUGAUCACUCGAUGUGUGCGAUACACUGUACGCGUCUGAGCGAAAGCAUUAAGUGAUCCACCUGGGGAGUACGACCGCAAGGUUG
rnacentral:rRNA from 1 species